AGAGUUUGAUCCUGGCUCAGGAUCAACGCUGGCGGCGUGCCUAAUGCAUGCAAGUCGAGCGGGGUGAUCUUCGGAUCACUUACGCGGCGGACGGGUGCGGAACACGUGGGCAACCUGCCCCGAGGUGGGGGAUAGCCGGUGGAAACACCGGGUAAUUCCGCAUAAGGUCGCGGACCGGAGGGUUCGUGAGGAAAGGCUCUUCGGAGUCGCCUUGGGAGGGGCCUGCGGCCGAUUAGCUAGACGGUGGGGUAACGGCCUACCGUGGCGAUGAUCGGUAGCUGGUCUGAGAGGACGGCCAGCCACACGGGGACUGAGACACGGCCCCGACUCCUACGGGAGGCAGCAGCAAGGAAUCUUCCGCAAUGGGCGAAAGCCUGACGGAGCAACGCCGCGUGUGGGAUGACGCCUUUCGGGGUGUAAACCACUUUUCUCAGGGAAGAAGCACUGACGGUACCUGAGGAAGAAGGACCGGCUAACUACGUGCCAGCAGCCGCGGUAAUUC
rnacentral:rRNA from 1 species